AUUGAACGCUGGCGGCAGGCCUAACACAUGCAAGUCGAACGAGUGGCGGACGGGUGUGUAAUGUCUGGGAAACUGCCCGUUUGGGGGGGAUAACUAAUGGAAACGGUAGCUAAUAUCGCAUACUACCGGAUAUGCCCAGAUGGGAUUGGCUAGGAGGCGGGGUAACGGCUCACCUAGGCGACGAUCCGUAGCUGGUCUGAGAGGAUGACCAGCCACACUGGAACUGUGACACGGUCCAGACGCCUACGGGAGGCAGCAGUGGGGAAUAUGGCACAAUGGGCGCAAGCCUGAUGCAGCCAUGCCGCGUGUAUGAAGAAGGCCUUCGGGUUGUAAAGUACUUGCAGCGAGGAGGCGUUACUCGCAGAAGAAGCACCGGCUAACGCCGUGCCAGCCGCCGCGGUAAUAC
rnacentral:rRNA from 1 species